AGCUGGUACAAUGGUAGUGGGUUAUCAGAAUUUAUUAAUAGUAGUGUCACCAAAAUUGGUAUACAACCACCACCCCCACUGCUAUAUUUGACUGACUUUAU
ensembl:misc_RNA Y_RNA Y RNA